rnacentral:lncRNA from 1 species
GAUGGCAGGUCAUGGAUAAAUCAUCAAACCUCAACAUCAGUCAUAUGAUCGAUUCAAUCAGUUCAAGUCUAAUUGUGAUUUCUAUGGAAACUCCUUUCCAUCAAUCAUACUACUAUGGCCAUAAAUUCUCAGACUUAGCCUCUCAAAUCUCAUAAGACUACUCCUCUCUAUCAAGAUCAAUAGAUCCAAUCUUGAUGUGCAUUUU